GGAAGAGGUUUUCCGUUGAUUUUGUGUAAACACUUCUCUGCAGUAGCCAGAUCUGCAAAUUCUACAAAGCAAUAGCCUGCAGGAAUUCCUGUCAACCUGUUUCGAAUGAUUUUUACACUCAGUACAAGCUCUCCCAUGGUGGCAAAGGCUCUUGAAACAAAGUUUUCGUCCAUGUAUGGCUCCAGGUCCCCCAUCCAUAGGCUGGCGGCCAUACUGCUCUCCCAGGCC
rnacentral:lncRNA from 1 species